rnacentral:sRNA from 4 species
UGUAUCUGAAGCCUGACGAGGAUGAGAACCUCCGGGGGCAAGAGGUUCGACCCGAGCGCAGCGAGAGAACGUUGCUUCAGCAACGGCCCGCAGGGCGAGCCACGCAGUGGCGAGUCAUCCUCUAUCACCGGCAG